rnacentral:misc_RNA from 1 species
GAUUUUUCAAUUCAAUUUGGUUCCUUAAGAACCGUGCACAACCCAUCAAGCAGUGGCAUCUUGCACUUCAAUUAACAAAACAAUCAAAACUCAAGUGCAAAUACAGUUUAUAGAGUCGACCAUCAAGAUCAGUUCGAAUGUUCCACCUAUUGCUCCCAUACAUCCAUCCAAUUCCUCCUCCCAUGAUCUCUCGUCCAUUAGUGGCUUUCCGCCGAGACUAUUCCAGGAUCAACUGGGGAUUAUGAAUUCUCGAAAGGAAGUUGAGUAGCAGGAGAGAGGAAGCAGAUGACUCAUGAUCAAACGACAAGUUGCGGCUCUUGCAGUGCUCACUAAUAACAUGGCUAUCAGAGUUCGUCUCUAGUGGUCAGGGGAACCAAUAAACGUUUUUUGAAAAGUGACUUGAUACCCAGCAUCUUACCUCACCGCCAAAUCUCUCAACACUAAUAAAUCAAUUCCAUAAAUGCCUAAUCUCUCAACAGCAUAAAUAUACAUAAAAUGGGCAUUGAUGGUGACGGAUGGAGAGUGGCUGCAUGCGAUAUCUGUGAAGGGUGGCAGCACACUCGUUGCAAUGGCAUUGAGGACUUCAGGAUUAUGCCUCUGCUUUUCAUUUGUACAGGAUGCUGUGAUUCUCUCGGGCACUUGGGAUUGUGACUUUGGGAUUAACAGCAAAUUGAGCUUAUUAAGCACCUUCUUUCUAUGCUCUUACUCUGCCACUGAGGAGCUAAAACCCUUAGAUUUACCUUUAACCCUUAUCCUCCUCUCCUCCUGUUAAUUGGACUAGGCUUUGGUUUAGAUCUCAUCCUAUCAAAGGCUUUAAUUAGGUCGGCGGUUAAUGGAGAAAAUCGGUUCUAGAUUAAGAACAGAAGUUGUUUACCUCGCGCCAAUUAGCUCCAGUCGAAGCCCAACGCCUUUAGGAAUUACCUUCAGCAGAUCCUCAAGUACUAGUAGCACAAAUUUCUCCGCGAGUCUCAUGAAAUAAUUAUUCAACUGGUGUGAGGCCCAUAAGGUUAGACCAUUCGGACCAACAUGAUCUUUUCAGCUGUGCUUAUUGUUGCAGGAAAUAAUUAGUGUUUAC